rnacentral:rRNA from 1 species
AGGAAAGCAGGGGAUCGCAAGACCUUGCGCUUUUGGAGCGGCCGAUGUCUGAUUAGCUAGUUGGUGAGGUAAAGGCUUACCAAGGCUUCGAUCAGUAGCUAGUCUGAGAGGACGACCAGCCACACUGGGACUGAGACACGGCCCAGACUCCUACGGGAGGCAGCAGUGGGGAAUUUUGGACAAUGGGGGCAACCCUGAUCCAGCCAUGCCGCGUGAGUGAAGAAGGCCUUCGGGUUGUAAAGCUCUUUCAGCCGGAACGAAAAGGUUACGGUUAAUACCCGUGACUAAUGACGGUACCGGAAGAAGAAGCACCGGCUAACUACGUGCCAGCAGCCGCGGUAAUACGUAGAGUGCGAGCGUUAAUCGGAAUUACUGGGCGUAAAGCGUGCGCAGGCGGUUUUGUAAGUCAGAUGUGAAAUCCCCGGGCUUAACCUGGGAAUUGCGUUUGAAACUACAAGGCU